GCCCAACCGAAGAAGUGCAUUGGAAACUGGGAGACUUGAGUGCAGAAGAGGACAGUGGAACUCCAUGUGUAGCGGUGAAAUGCGUAGAUAUAUGGAAGAACACCAGUGGCGAAGGCGGCUGUCUGGUCUGCAACUGACGCUGAGGCUCGAAAGCAUGGGUAGCGAACAGGAUUAGAUACCCUGGUAGUCCAUGCCGUAAACGAUGAUUACUAAGUGUUGGAGGGUUUCUGCCCUUCAGUGCUGCAGCUAACGCAUUAAGUAAUCCGCCUGGGGAGUACGACCGCAAGGUUGAAACUCAAAAGAAUUGACGGGGGCCCGCACAAGCGGUGGAGCAUGUGGUUUAAUUCGAAGCUACGCGAAGAACCUUACCAGGUCUUGACAUCUUCUGACAGUCUAAGAGAUUAGAGGUUCCCUUCGGGGACAGAAUGACAGGUGGUGCAUGGUUGUCGUCAGCUCGUGUCGUGAGAUGUUGGGUUAAGUCCCGCAACGAGCGCAACCCUUAUUACUAGUUGCCAGCAUUAAGUUGGGCACUCUAGUGAGACUGCCGGUGACAAACCGGAGGAAGGUGGGGACGACGUCAAAUCAUCAUGCCCCUUAUGACCUGGGCUACACACGUGCUACAAUGGAUGGUACAACG
rnacentral:rRNA from 1 species